UCUUCCACAAUGGACGAAAGUCUGAUGGAGCAACGCCGCGUGCAGGAUGAAGGCUUUCGGGUCGUAAACUGCUUUUGUUAGCGAAGAAUUUGACGGUAACUAACGAAUAAGGAUCGGCUAACUCCGUGCCAGCAGCCGCGGUCAUACGGAGGAUCCAAGCGUUAUCCGGAGUGACUGGGCGUAAAGAGUUGCGUAGGUGGUUAUAUAAGUGAAUAGUGAAACCUGGUGGCUCAACCAUACAGACUAUUAUUCAAACUGUAUAACUCGAGAAUGGUAGAGGUAGCAGGAAUUUCUAGUGUAGGAGUGAAAUCCGUAGAUAUUAGAAGGAACACCAAUGGCGUAGGCAGGCUACUGGACCAUUUCGACACUAAGGCACGAAA
rnacentral:rRNA from 1 species